rnacentral:rRNA from 1 species
GACGAACGCUGGCGGCGUGCUUAACACAUGCAAGUCGAACGGUGAAGCGCCUUCCUUUUUGGUGGGUGUGGAUGAGUGGCGAACGGGUGAGUAACACGUGAGUAACCUGCCCCCUUCUUCUGGAUAACCGCAUGAAAGUGUGGCUAAUACGGGAUAUUCUGGGUCUGUCGCAUGAUGGGUCUGGGAAAGAUAUUGUUUCGGUGGGGGAUGGUCUCGCGGCCUAUCAGCUUGUUGGUGGGGUGAUGGCCUACCAAGGCGGUGACGGGUAGCCGGCCUGGGAGGGUGGACGGUCACACUGGGACUGAGACACGGCCCAGACUCCUACGGGAGGCAGCAGUGGGGAAUAUUGCACAAUGGGCGCAAGCCUGAUGCAGCGACGCCGCGUGAGGGAUGGAGGCCUUCGGGUUGUGAACCUCUUUCGCCAGUGAAGCAGGCCUGCCUCGUUUGUGGGUGGGUUGACGGUAGCUGGAGAAGAAGCGCCGGCUAACUACGUG